rnacentral:lncRNA from 1 species
GAGGCAUCUAAUACAUUGCUCGUCAUUACUGAAUUAAUAAAGCUGGGGACUAGAUAAGGCCCAAAUGCAGGCAGUAGAGUGACAAGCGGGUGUACAGAAUUUCCUUCCUGUUGGAAAACAACAGCAAAUAUCUCCCAGAGAGACUCUUUGUUGGCCAAACUUACUGUACCAAUGGGGAAGAAAAAAUGAAAGUUUGUCAUUGCUGGAAGAAUUUACAGUGUUCUAGCUUCGUGUUUGUAAAAUGUGACCAUCAUUUGAAGCUUCAAUAAAGUCUGCUUCAAAGCAAUCUCAAUCCUUCAUCAAAGAGAUUUCCAGAGCACUCCCAAUGGGUUAACAUAAAUCUUACUUUCUUGCCCAUCAAUCCUUCAGGUCUCAAAGAACUCAGAAAUAAGGAAGUUUAUUCAUCACUAGUGGGUAGCAAGAUAAUGGAACAAUUCAGAUUGACCACCAGAAAUAAAUGCCUUCACAGAAAAAGUAGAAGGUACCCAGUUGGUUGUAGGAAAAAAAGAAUUUUACAUGGAAACUGUGGAGAGAUAAACCUUAUUCUGUUAAAAAACACAAAAUUAUAUUUAUCCCAUCUCGGGUUGAUAUGCAGCCCAGUGAUAAUUGAUCCAUUUUUAUCCUUUAACAUUUAUUAUUUAAGCUCAGGCUUUAAUAUUUAAAUCCAUAAACAUGGCUUAUUAUCUGAAUGCUAAAAAAAAAGACAUUAUUUAACAUCAGAACCUGACUCCUCACCAACUCCAUUACUAAUA